rnacentral:rRNA from 1 species
UACGGAGGGUGCGAGCGUUAAUCGGAAUUACUGGGCGUAAAGCGCGCGUAGGCGGCCCGGUAAGUCCGGCGUGAAAUCCCCGGGCUCAACCUGGGAACUGCGCCGGAUACUGCCGGGCUGGAGUGUGGGAGAGGGCAGUGGAAUUUCCGGUGUAGCAGUGAAAUGCGUAGAGAUCGGAAGGAACACCAGUGGCGAAGGCGGCUGCCUGGACCAACACUGACGCUGAGGCGCGAAAGCGUGGGGAGCAAAC